rnacentral:rRNA from 1 species
CUGUUCUAGAGAUAGAAGUUACUUCGGUACAUCGGUGACAGGUGGUGCGAUGGUUGUCGUCAGCUCGUGUCGUGAGAUGUUGGGUUAAGUCCGCAACGAGCGCAACCCCUAUUGUUAGUUGCCAUCAUUCAGUUGGGCACUCUAGCGAGACUGCCGGUAAUAAACCGGAGGAAGGUGGGGAUGACGUCAAAUCAUCAUGCCCCUUAUGACCUGGGCUACACACGUGCUACAAUGGUUGGUACAACGAGUUGCGAGUCGGUGACGGCGAGCUAAUCUCUUAAAGCCAAUCUCAGUUCGGAUUGUAGGCUGCAACUCGCCUACAUGAAGUCGGAAUCGCUAGUAAUCGCGGAUCAGCACGCCGCGGUGAAUACGUUCCCGGGCCUU